ensembl:lncRNA
UAAACAGCCGUUGCUCGGCUGAAGGACCGCAUAUGAAAUCGUGUGGAAAUACCCCGUGUACUGUUCGACUGCACAAUGCUGUAGAACGAGUCGCUAAAAAGGACUAGUCACUCCUGAGUCGGUAAAAAGUUGUUAAAAAAGAACACAUAUUUCGCGAACUACAUAUCACUACUGAGAUCAGAACUGCGGAGCUUGCUGGCUGCUUCUUCAGGAACCUUCAUAUGGUUGGCCGUGGCGCUACGGUGAAAUGAAGUUUGCAAUGUACCCCACCCAAACAAGCAACGACGCAAUCGCUGGAAGUUUGAGAGCAGUCUGCCGAGGUAUUGACUUCAGCUGGAAGAUGGCCAACCACUCAGAGGAUGUCAAGAAGACUAUUCUAAAUAAUCAUGUUGGAUAUGGAGUUGUUCCUCAACCCCCAUUGGAAGCCCGCUUACAUCAAGAGCAACAAGAUGGACUAUAUAAAGAUGAAAGCUGCAGCCGAAGUUCAGGGACUCCUGCCAGAGCAGUUGCCAUCCAUGGGAGACAGAUGGAUCACAAACAGCAGAAGAACAAACAGGAACCAAAGAGAGGAGCAGCUGCACCCAGCCUAGUGGAAUCAAAGAAGACGAGGAGGACACUGAAGGUUUUGCGGGAAGAACAAACAGGCACCCCCGGCUGGCCUGUCUGACAGAGGAGCCACUGAGGCCAUGCUGAAGAGCUAACCGCAGACUGUCGAUACUGAUGCAGUCCGUGAAGUUCACUUCUUAGGAGUGUCCGAGUUAGCCAAUAAAUUCUUCUGCAUUCCUGCCACAUGUGCUCCUUCAGAAAGAGCCCUGGAGGGAAUGUGGUGACAGGUCACAGUGGAACACUGAAGACUGUGGAUGGGCAUUAUGUCCUUGCCCAUAACCUGUGAAACAAUGGGUAGGACAGUAUUGUGUUCCUUUUUUUACUUAGUUCAAAAUACUAUUUGAGAACCUGUGAUCUGGCCCUACUUGACUUGAACAUGUUCAAUAUAGUUGGUUGAAUAUUUCAC